AACUUUCCAUUCAUUUCAGACGAAAUAAACAAAAGCAGAGAGAGAGAGAGAGGAAAGAGAGCGAUGAGAUUCCCUUUUUCAAAUUCCCCCUCCUUUUCGUCCAAAACCAUCGAUUCCAUUUCGGAAGCUGGGAGGAGGAAGCACAGAGAAAAGCGACCAAUCUCCAUUCUCCCGUCAUAAAACCAUAUAAGAAUCCUUCCUUUCCUCUUCGUAGCAUAGCCUCUUCACCAAAUCACAAGCCUCCCACAGGCUUGAUAAAGGGAGAGAACUGUCGGAGUGGAGUGCAGAAAAAGAGUAAGCUUUUUUUUUUGUCUGUGUCAGAGUCUUUUUUUUUUCUUCCUCCCCAGUUCGAUGGUCGCACCUGGGACAGAAGAGAGAGGUGGUGCCUGUAAUGGCAAGAGAUCGAGCGCCAUUUCACUGUCUUUUUGAUGACGUGUACUAAGAUCUCUGCAGACGAGAGAGUACUCGAUCCUCCCGUUUUUUCUCUGUUGUAUGAUAUCGGCCUUUGAAAGCAGCGCUUUCAGAGCAGAAAAGCUGGAUGGUGUAGCAGAGAAUAGGAAAUGGAUAAAAGUUAAGGGAGAGAGAGAGAAUUUAUGGUGAAUAAAA
rnacentral:lncRNA from 1 species